rnacentral:rRNA from 1 species
AGCGAACGCUGGCGGCAGGCCUAACACAUGCAAGUCGAACGAAGUCUUCGGACUUAGUGGCGGACGGGUGAGUAACACGUGGGAACGUGCCUUUAGGUUCGGAAUAACUCAGGGAAACUUGUGCUAAUACCGAAUGUGCCCCUCGGGGGAAAGAUUUAUCGCCUUUAGAGCGGCCGCGUCUGAUUAGCUAGUUGGUGAGGUAAAGGCUCACCAAGGCGACGAUCAGUAGCUGGUCUGAGAGGAUGAUCAGCCACAUUGGGACUGAGACACGGCCCAAACUCCUACGGGAGGCAGCAGUGGGGAAUCUUGCGCAAUGGGCGAAAGCCUGACGCAGCCAUGCCGCGUGAAUGAUGAAGGUCUUAGGAUUGUAAAAUUCUUUCACCGGGGACGAUAAUGACGGUACCCGGAGAAGAAGCCCCGGCUAACUUCGUGCCAGCCGCCGCCGUAAAAC